CCAAGUACACGUCCGUGAAACGCGGAAACUGCGAACGGCUCAUUAAAUCAGUUGCGAUCUACUCGGCGUUCCGCGCCGCCGGAUAACCGUAGUAAUUCUAAGGGCUAAUACGUGCGAAGCGCCCGAAGCCGCGAGGCGACGGGCGUGCUCGCCGGAUACGGAACCGACCCGGGGGACCGCCGGGGGCAACCCGGCGCCCCCGAGACGGGGCGAACCACGGUGAAAACGACGGAUCGUCGGCCCCGCGCAGGCGACUCGCCGAAUGAGUUUCUGACCUAUCAACUCGAGACGGCGGGGUAGGGGCCCGCCGCGGUAACGACGGGUAACGGGGAAUCAGGGUUCGAUUCCGGAGAGGGGAGCCCCGAGAAAACGGCUACCACUUCCAAGGAAGGCAGCAGGCGCGCAACUUACCCCUAAUCUCGAUUCGAGGAGGUAGUGACAAGAAAUACCGAUGCGGGACCCUACGGGUGCCGCGUUCGGAAUGAGUACGAUUCGAACCACCUAACGAGGAACGAUCGGAGGGCAAGUCUGGUGCCAGCAGCCGCGGUAAUUCCAGCUCCAAUAGCGUACGUUAAAGUUGCUGCAGU
rnacentral:rRNA from 1 species